CAGCAAAGCAAGACAGCAUGUGUGUAAC
rnacentral:piRNA from 1 species